GACGAACGCUGGCGGCGUGCCUAAUACAUGCAAGUGGGACGCAAGGAAACACACUGUGCUUGCACACCGUGUUUUCUUGAGUCGCGAACGGGUGAGUAACGCGUAGGUAACCUGCCUAUUAGCGGGGGAUAACUAUUGGAAACGAUAGCUAAUACCGCAUAAUAUUAAUUAUUGCAUGAUAAUUGAUUGAAAGAUGCAAGCGCAUCACUAGUAGAUGGACCUGCGUUGUAUUAGCUAGUUGGUAAGGUAAGAGCUUACCAAGGCGACGAUACAUAGCCGACCUGAGAGGGUGAUCGGCCACACUGGGACUGAGACACGGCCCAGACUCCUACGGGAGGCAGCAGUAGGGAAUCUUCGGCAAUGGACGCAAGUCUGACCGAGCAACGCCGCGUGAGUGAAGAAGGUUUUCGGAUCGUAAAGCUCUGUUGUAAGUCAAGAACGUGUGUGAGAGUGGAAAGUUCACACAGUGACGGUAGCUUACCAGAAAGGGACGGCUAACUACGUG
rnacentral:rRNA from 1 species